rnacentral:lncRNA from 1 species
CCUCGGAUUUGCAUGGCUCCGCCCCCGGAACGGGACUCUCCCCAGGGGCCCCGCCCCUCGUGGUGGCCGCUCCGCCCCCUUCCAGAUCAGCCCGUUUGGUCAGGUUUACAUUUACUUAGCAUUUCUCAGCUUCUUUUAGGCUUUUAGUACCGUUUUUACACCACGGGAUGAGCAAAUAGGUUUAAAACACCGCGUAACUCAGGGAAAGAACAGAGUCUUGGGGCAGCUAUGCGGUACGAACUGAGUAAUUUCCCUGAUCCUGGGAGGAAACARGCAUACCUGGCGCGGCUUCACUUCGCGGUGCUAAUCUGCUCUGCCUCAUAUCCUCUGCUCUCAGCGCAGCCGGCACUUUAGGAUCGGCCUUGUAGCGCGAUGUGAGCGCCUCUCUGUUUCUUAAUCUCUUUUAGCUCGAGCAUCCCAUGAUUUUUAAUCAGUUCAAUCUGCAGGUUAAGGUACUAACUGCUGCUUUUAAAAGAAAUACCUCACAGAGGCUCCUAGCCUGUCAGAGAAAGGGCGGGCAGGCAGAUGAGAAGAGACCGGGGGAACCGCAGGGCUGCGGCGCCGCCUCACCACAGCGCCGCGACCCCUCUUCCCGCCGAUUUCCCAACGGUCGCCGGGGGGGGGACAGGGGGCGCUCGCGCCUUCCCCCCACACUGCGCCUGCGCGCCCCCUCUUCCCGCCAAUUGCGGGGGGGGGCGCCGCGGGCGCCUGCGCGUGUCGCCUCGCGCCCUCCCCUCCCACUGCGCCUGCGCGCCGCCUUUCCCGCUCCCUCCCUCACCGCUCCCUAGCGUCGGUCCACAGGAUGGCGCAUGCGCGCGGGGAAAGGCCGUAGUGCGCACGCGCUCCUCUGUCUCCCAGCAUGCACCGGGGCGGCGACCUAUUUAAGCGCUCAGGCGGGGCUGCUUCGGCCAUUUCCUUGCUGUUGCUGUAUGGGGAGGGUGAGUGUGUCCGGGCGUUGCCUGCUCCUGGGGCUGUUCGGGGGUCGCUCUGCGCGGAACGAGCCGUUCCUAGCGGCCGUUUCCUUCUCUCCUGAGGUUUUCAGACGUUUAAGGGGAAGCUCUGCCAGAGUCCUUGUGUUCUCAGCGUGUGGAACUGGUCAGCCAUGUGCAUCUGUGGUUCCUUCGCAGCGUUGUGCUCAGAGUCUCUGGGAGUGGCCUGGGUGUCUCCCUCUGCAGCCCCGUCGCCGGCAGCAUGAGGAAAUGGAGCCUGAAGCUGCGCUCGGACUGCUGCCAGCCUGAUCCCAGCUGCGUGGGAUGAAAGCUGUUGGCUGGGGGUGUCCGGCAAAGCUCCGAGCAGCCUGGAGCGGCUGCGCUGGAUGGUGUUUGACGGAG